rnacentral:rRNA from 1 species
GACGAACCGUGCGAACGUUAUUCGGAAUCACUGGGCUUAAAGCGCGUGUAGGCGGGCGGGCACGUCCGACGCUGAAAUCCCCCGGCUCAACCGGGGAAUGGGCGGAGAUACGACCAGCCUGGAGGGACGGAGGGGGACCUGGAACUUCCGGUGGAGCGGUGAAAUGCGUUGAGAUCGGAAGGAACACCAACGGCGAAGGCGAGUCUCUGGAACGGUACUGACGCUGAGACGCGAAAGCGUGGGGAGCGAACAGG